rnacentral:tRNA from 1 species
GCUUGAGUGGCGGAAUUGGUAGACGCAGCGGACUUAAAAUCCGCCGGUAGUGAUACUGUACCGGUUCGAUUCCGGUCUCAAGCA